UCAUGAGUUGCAGAUCUACAGGACUGUUUCAGUUUGAGUGCGAGUAUCUGCCGCAACGCGUGAUGUCAACCCUGUGUCAGGGUGAUGCCUGAUCGACGUGUACUGAUUGUAUGGUGAUUGCACAAGGAUAGUCAGCUGACAAGCCGCACACUUGGCUUUGAUUUGAACACCACUUGGAUUAGGUCAUCUAUCAUCACUCCAACGCAAAGUAACAUAAAAAACUGAUACAGAUCUACCCGGAAACCUUCGCAAUCCAUCGUGAUCCAAUAACUUCAAGAGGUAUUCCGAAGACCUUGAUGCCCACAAAAGCUGCAAGUCAGCCGUCUGACCUGGCCAGCAAAGUCCGAGAACACUCCCCUUCUGCUACGUCACAGCCACGCAUGACGUUCUACGUCGUACCAAAAACAUCGGACCACACCACCUCGAUCGAUGAUAGUGCAAAUACUCGCGUGAUCCGGCAAGAAGGACCGCGUCUCGUUUCGCGUUGAUUGAGCCUCUCGCGUAGUUCCGUGACCUUCCACAGCAGUUGUGUGGAACCGUACGUGCGCUUGUUUUCGUCCGGACUCGCGCCUCUCUAACACCGGGGGGAUUGUCUCUCUACGAACGGCCAUCGUGGACAUCGCCUGACUUUGUUACGUUCCAAGUAAUCAGACUGUUGUUUAUACAGCUCGGGCGAUGAUGUAAAUGAAACUGUUUACUUUUUGCGCUGGCCGCUCUAAUUUUGAUAAAGAUACUACGUAGCCGGUACGUGA